rnacentral:rRNA from 1 species
UACGGGGGGGGCUAGCGUUGUUCGGAAUUACUGGGCGUAAAGGGCGCGUAGGCGGUCUGCUAAGUUGGAUGUGAAAACUCUGGGCUUAACCCAGAGCCUGCAUUCAAUACUGACAGGCUAGAGUUCUGGAGGGGAUAGCGGAAUUCCUGGUGUAGCGGUGAAAUGCGUAGAUAUCAGGAGGAACACCGGUGGUGUAGACGGCUCUCUGGACCGUAACUGACGCUGAGACACGAAAGCGUGGGUAGCAAACAGG